AAUGAACGCUGGCGGCAGGCUUAACACAUGCAAGUCGAACGAGAACGCACCUUCGGGUGUUAUUAAAGUGGCAAACGGGUGAGUAACACGUGGGAAUAUACCUUGUAGUCUGGGAUAACAGUUGGAAACGACUGCUAAUACCGGAUAUUCAUUACGAUGAAAAGUUUUUCGCUACAAGAUUAGCCCGCGGUGGAUUAGCUAGUUGGUGGGGUAAAGGCCUACCAAGGCAACGAUCUAUAGCUGGUUUGAGAGGAUGAUCAGCCACACUGGGACUGAGACACGGCCCAGACUCCUACGGGAGGCAGCAGUGGGGAAUCUUGCACAAUGGAGGAAACUCUGAUGCAGCGAUGCCGCGUGAGUGAAGAAGGCCCUUGGGUUGUAAAGCUCUUUUGUCGGGAAAGAUAAUGACUGUACCCGAAGAAUAAGGUCCGGCUAACUUCG
rnacentral:rRNA from 1 species